GUACUGCUGAGGAGUCCCAUACCAGGACGAAACGGCCGUCCAGUGA
rnacentral:hammerhead_ribozyme from 1 species